UAGAAAACUUUGGUGAGUCAUGACUCACAAAACACGGUAGUAUAAGAUUAGAGUUGUGGGAAAUAUAGAACAAAAGUUAUAAAUAUAUUUGAGAGAGCCGAAUAUAUCGAAAGAGACUUGGCUAGCUAGAUUGUUUGGGAAGAGGAAAAUAUAUGAUGAUAACUAAUGGUGUUCUUGAUGGGUUUGUUGAUGGAGAUGAUGAUUGUUGAUGGAACAAGUUUAAACAAUCAAGUUAGUCUUUAUUAACAACGAUUGACUCCAAUGAUGAUCUGGUGGAUCGCGGAUCUCGAGGUGGGUGUGGCUUGUCUUCAAAAAGAGUUUCAGAUAACAGGUUCGAUAAGCGUUCGCGAAGAUGAUCAAGAUUGGAUGAUUCUGCUUUAUCUGUUUUUAUGUAUAUACUUGGUUUGAAAACCAAUACACUAUUAUAUAUGUAUCAUUGGAGAGGAAUUUUGUAUAUAUUUUUACAGAGAGGGUUUAGAUUUUGGUUUAA